rnacentral:lncRNA from 1 species
GGGGCGGGGGGGUUGUUUCGAGGCUGCAGUCCCCUUCUCCCUCACGACCCCAGGCCUUGCUACCUCUUGGGGAGCAACCACGCUUCCUGUGGAAGAACGGAUGUAUCCACAGAUGAGCUGAGCCAGCACAGGAAACUGAAGCUCUAGUUCACUGCCAGUGUGCCCCACCCUCUGCCUGAGGCCUGGCCCCUGCCUCAAAGAGCUGCCCCAGCCUCCUGCUGUCCAAGACUUGGUGGAGAGGCACCAGGCCAGCAUGGAUCAUUCUCACUCUUCCUCCCACCCACAGCCUUCCGGGAGCCACCUCAUGAGUAAAACUAUUAAAAGCUGUAGGAGAAAAAGAAGAAGAAAAAGAACAACACUGGCUGUUCUUGCAGAGGACCUAAGUUCACCACUGAACAUUUCAAAUGGAUAAAACUGUGGGAACAGCUACAGACCACUGGAAAAGGCUCCUGCAACAACCCAUGCAACAAAGUACUCAAAAAGAGGAAAUGAGCAUCAGCUGCCCCUGGGGAACGCUGCUUGGAUGCAGACGAGAGUAUCCUCUGUCCCACACCCAUCUCGCUGCGCUGUAUCAUUGCUUUUGUAAAAACACGUAUAGAAUAAAGAUAAAAAUAAAUUACAUGCUCCUGCACACAUGAUAAAGUACCUGAGGGAGAGCUGACGGAGUACACAAUCCUCCCUUCUACCUUAGGACAGAGGAGGCGGCAGUGCAUUUCUUGUGUUUGAACAAAUUCUAAAUCAACUAUUUCCAAUACAAUCUCUCACAACCUUCUGCGGAUUCUACUAGGUUUCGUGUACCUCAGGCUAUGCCUGAACUAAAAAUAUAGCUAAGAACCACACUGGACUAUUUUUCUGCCUCCACUUCCAUGGUGGUUUGAAUAUGCUCCGCGCAGGGUGUGGCACUACGAGGACGAGUGGCUUUAUCGGAGUAGGUGUAACACUGUUGGAGGAAGUGUGUCACCGCCAUAGAGGUGGGCUUUUAAGACUCUCCUCUUGGCCAUGUGGGUGGCAGUCUGCUACCCGCUUCCUUUGGAUGAAGAUGUAGAACUCUCAGCUACUUCUCCAGUGCUCUGCCCUCCUGGAUGCUGCCACGCUUCCUGCUAUGAUGACAACAGACUAAAUCUCCGAACCUAUAAACCAGCCUCAAUGAAAUGCUGGCCCUUAUAAAAGUUGCCUUGGUCAUGGUGUCUGUUCAUAGCAGUAAAACCCAAACAAAGAAAAGUUCUCAAGUACUGAAACUACAGGCAAGUGACUUACAUCACUUUAACCCAAUUUGAUUUCAGAAGGCAAUGUCAGGCUGGGAAGAUGGCUCAGUCACUAUAGUACUUGCUUUGCAAGCGUGAGGACUUGAGUUGAGACCGCUAGCAACAAUGUAAAAGCUGAAUAGGUGAUGUCCAUCUGUCAUCCCAGAGUUGGGGCAGCAGAGGCAGCUGAAUCCCAGGAGUUCACUGGCUAAUCAGCCCGGACACCUCCCUGAGCUCAAAAAAGUGAAGUGUGCCACCUAAUGGUGGCAUAGGCCUUUAAUCCCUGCAUUCCAAUGGCAGAAGCAGGCAGAUCUCUUUGUUCAAGACCAGCCUGGUCUACAGAGGGAGUUACAAGACAGCCAGGACUACACAGAAACCAUGUCUUGAAAUCACCACUCUUCCCACCACCCCCAAAAGUGAAGUAUGACUGAAGAAGACGCCUGGCAUCAAUCGACAUCUGACCUAAAACCCCACAGACACACAUUAUAACAUAUAACACAAAUACAGUUUCAAAGCUUGUCAAAAAUUGGAAACCCAUUAUUUCUUUCAUAUUCAAUUUUCUUCGAUAGAAAUUCUUUACUUUUUCGGUCAAUUAGUUCUUGAGAGAAUAGAUUGAACUUUGGAAUAAAAUAAUGAUCCAGUUUCUCUGUCCUGAGGCACUCAAGAAAGAAUGCUAACAACUUAUCGAAGCAGGAGCUGAGGUUCCUGGGGUCCCACUGACUGUCCUGCGGGUCCUGGGUCCACAUGUGAAAGAUGGCAGUUUUCACAUGGUAGGAACAGAAUGCAUCCAGCUCUUGAAACUCUUUUUUCAACUGUUCCAAAAGGUAUUUCAUUAAUUUUAAACAUUCUUUUCUGUUAAAUAAGAAAGAAGAUACUCAUUUUUACUUACUUACAACUGUCUCUUUUGAGACAGGGUCUCUCUAUGUAACCCUGGCUUUCCUGGGACACAAGAGAUCCACCCGUCCCUGUUUCCCAAGAACAAGUGCUGGAAUUAAAGAUGUGCGCCACCUUGUCUGUCUCUUUUUCUUUUUUAAACAUACUUUCUUCUUUUCUUCCAAUUUUUUAAGGCAGGGUCUCAUUAGCUCAGGUUGGCCAUAAACUCAUCAUGUAGCAGGGGCUGGCCUUUGGCUCCUAACUCUGCUCUGCCUCUCAAGUGCUAGGAAUAGUGUACACUACCAUACUUGGGUCAAU